AUUGGAGCCAACAAGUUGGGGCACUCGAAUCUGGGCACAGAGAUAUUUUGGUAGACGAGCCCCCCGAAUUCCUGCUUAAUGUUUCGAGCUCCAGCCGUAUCCAGCACCAUAAUUCUAAUGAGAGAUGUUACUAUUUCAGGACUUUCCUGCCCCAUCACGGCACGAUCUUCUAUGAAUUUUGGAGUGGGAGGGCAGUGCUGAUAAGGCUGGGGUCAUUACCCAUUGAACUGAGCGGAGGCUACCUAUGCAAAAGACUUGUGAGCUACACCAGACUUGGUCAAAAUCUUCUGUGAGCAAUUUUUGACGUUCCUUACCACAUUUCUCUAUGAAGGGUGCAGUAUCUUUCUGGGGAGCUAUUUUGACGGCUGCUGUCUGAUGAACGGGAGGUAGGUUCGCACGAUUCAGCCGCAUUCCAGAUCCUCUUCUGCAACAGGCUUCUCAAAUCCUUCAUCCAGGACUUGAACACUGAUUCACAUCAAUCCGCUAAACUAACUACUCCCUGUAGCUGUGUUGUUGAUUUUCGACGCUCUUUCUAUGAUUGCCUCCGCAAGGCUGGCUGAACAGUCCACGCAUCUGACGAGCUUCAAAACCACUCACUGAUUCACCAGCUCCCAAUCCGACGUCUCUGCCCGCUCGCGAUCGCUCGAUGCGUGCCUGCACUCUUCGACUGCAGUGUUUGACCUCGGAAUCAUCGCCCCGGCGCACCGGAGGACGAAUCUGCUGCAUCUGAGUGGGCAAAACUGAUGGAGAUCCCUGAUUGAACUGUGACGAGGCGUGAGUGAGGCCCACAGUUUCGAAGCCAGAAACUGGUGUCCAUGUCGUAUCAUGUUCUUUUUAUUUUAUUUUAUUGCACAACGGGCCAAAACCCCAUGUUUUAGGGUUUAGGGUAACAAGGCUACUUGUCUUUGAACACCCAUUAGAUUAGGGCAGAUUGGGAGUGUAAGGAAUGUGGCAAAUGGAGCAUUGGUUAUUUGGUGGAUACUUUAUUAUUAAAUCAAAAUUAAAAUAAAAAACCAUUCAUUGGUGGUAACAUUUCAAAGUCAAUUUGAACUGCCUCUCUAAAACUGCAUUGCAAUUUUAUUUUCUUAUAUUUUGAUGUUGAUUUUUUUUAAUUUUUAAUUUUUAAUUUCAACUAUUUUUUUUAAUUUUUAUUUUUUUCAUGAUUUGUCUAUAAAUGACAACUUCCAACUUACAAGUAUGUAUUUUGGGCAUUCUACAUGAA